CCUGGGUGGAGUAUUCCCUCCUAGCUUAUUCUCUCCUGAUUCCAGGAAUCCUCCAACCAGGAUUCUGGGAAAACUGUGACAUUUUGGGAAAGUUACCUGAAUUUUGUAACCAUAGAUAGAUCAGGUUGGGUGUUCUGAGACCUCCUGCCUCCUGAGGGUAUAAAACAGGGACAGGAAUAUUCCAUAAGGACAGACUGACAGAUUGAAAACAUGCUGAGGUUCAUCCUGUUGAGCGCUCUCGCAGCCCUGGUGCUGUCUGAGAAUCUGGUUCCCCAGCCCAGAUACCUGGAAGAUGUAGCUGAGGAAAAAGUUGUGGGUGGCGUGGUCGCCCAGCCCAACUCCUGGCCCUGGCAGAUAUCUCUCCAGUACCAGUCUGGCAGCUCCUACUACCACACCUGUGGAGGUAGUCUGAUCAGGAGAGGAUGGGUCAUGACUGCUGCUCACUGUGUGGACAGCCAGAGGACUUGGCGUGUGGUUCUGGGAGACCACCACCUGAACAGCAACGAGGGUAAGGAGCAGAUCAUGACCGUCAGCAAUGUCUACAUCCACAAUGGGUGGAACUCAAACAACAUCGCCGGAGGAUAUGACAUCGCCCUGCUGCGUCUGUCCACCGAGGCUUCGCUGAACUCUGCUGUCCAGCUGGCUGCUCUUCCUCCAUCUGGCCAGAUCCUACCCAACAACAACCCUUGCUACAUCACCGGAUGGGGACGCACCCAGACUGGCGGUUCUCUGUCCAACAGCCUGAAGCAGGCUUGGCUACCCAGUGUUGACCACCAGACCUGUUCCAGCUCUGGCUGGUGGGGAUCUUCCGUCAAGACCACCAUGGUCUGUGCCGGUGGCGGAGCCAACUCUGGUUGCCAGCGUAAGACCAGUGUAAUGGAGGGGAAGGGGAGAAGACCGAUCGGUUUGGGAUUUGAACCCAUGACCCUGUGUCUGUCCCUCUAAAACCUUAAACGUUACACCAAGAGGUAUGAAGAUGAUUUGUCUUGGUUUUACUGGAUGCGUUUAAUUUACUUUAUAUUUGUUUAUCAUUGGAAUUAUAUCAUAGUUUAGCUACAUGUUUAGAAAAUAAAAAUAACCAGUGACUCUUUUUUGUUAUACAUAAAUAUGAGUAAGAAUAACAAAUUGGAAACUCAGUCCUGAUGAAGCUCUCUCUCUCUCUUCAUCAUUGUAGGGAGACUCUGGCGGCCCCCUGAACUGCCAGGUCAACGGUCAGUACUAUGUCCACGGUGUGACCAGCUUCGUUUCCUCUUCUGGCUGCAACGCCAACCGCAGGCCCACCGUCUUCACCCGUGUGUCUGCUUACAUCAGCUGGAUGAACGGGAUCAUGGGUUGAUCUCCUUUCCUGUACAGAUCAUGGGUUGAUCUCCUUUCCUGUACAGAUCAUGGGUUGAUCUCCUUUCCUGUACAGAUCAUGGGUUGAAAGGGAACAUGGUUUUCGAGCAGAUAGACAGAACCCAGAUUCACCACUGACACUGCUCAACUACACCAACUACCCAGAUUCACCACUGACCCUGCUCAACUACACCAACUACCCAGAUUCACCACUGACCCUGCUCCACUACACCAACUACCCAGAUUCACCACUGACCCUGCUCCACUACACCAACUACCCAGAUUCACCACUGACCCUGCUCAACUACACCAACUACCCAGAUUCACCACUAACCCUGCUCAACUACACCAACUACCCAGAUUCACCACUGACCCUGCUCAACUACACCAACAUUCUGCUCUAAAAGUUCAAUAAACUUCAUUGACUUUGGAGAAAACCUUC